rnacentral:misc_RNA from 1 species
GAUGAAGACGCAGCGAAAUGCGAUAAGUAGUGUGAAUUGCAGAAUUCAGUGAAUCAUCGAAUCUUUGAACGCACAUUGCGCCCCUUGGUAUUCCAUGGGGCAUGCCUGUUCGAGCGUCAUUUGUACCUUCAAGCUCUGCUUGGUGUUGGGUGUUUGUCUCGCCUCUGCGUGUAGACUCGCCUCAAAACAAUUGGCAGCCGGCGUAUUGAUUUCGGAGCGCAGUACAUCUCGCGCUUUGCACUCAUAACGACGACGUCCAAAAGUACAUUUUUACACUCUUGACCUCGGAUCAGGUAGGGAUACCCGCUGAACUUAAGCAUAUCAAUAAGCGGAGGA